GCGCCCUACCCGUUGAGCCACAGGCGCCGCCCAAUGCAGUGUUAUUUCUUAUGUGCUAUACAAAUAGUUGAAGGUUAAUUAGCAGUAUAACUAUAAGUAGUAAGACUGCCAGUCUCCUUCAGACAAGA